rnacentral:rRNA from 1 species
AUGAACGCUGGCGGCGUGCCUCAUACAUGCCAGUCGCGCGAACAGACGAGGAGCUUGCUCCUCUGACGUUAGCGGCGGACGGGUGAGUAACACGUGGAUAACCUACCUAUAAGACUGGGAUAACUUCGGGAAACCGGAGCUAAUACCGGAUAAUAUAUUGAACCGCAUGGUUCAAUAGUGAAAGACGGUUUUGCUGUCACUUAUAGAUGGAUCCGCGCCGCAUUAGCUAGUUGGUAAGGUAACGGCUUACCAAGGCAACGAUGCGUAGCCGACCUGAGAGGGUGAUCGGCCACACCGGAACUGAGACACGGUCCAGACUCCUACGGGAGGCAGCAGUAGGGAAUCUUCCGCAAUGGGCGAAAGCUUGACGGAGCAACGCCGCGUGAGUGAUGAAGGUCUUCGGAUCGUAAAACUCUGUUAUUAGGGAAGAACAAAUGUGUAAGUAACUAUGCACGUCUUGACGGUACCUAAUCAGAAAGCCACGGCUAACUACGUG